rnacentral:rRNA from 1 species
UACGUAGGGCGCAAGCGUUGUCCGGAAUUAUUGGGCGUAAAGAGCUCGUAGGCGGUCUGUCACGUCUGCUGUGAAAUCCCGGGGCUUAACCCUGGGCGUGCAGUGGAUACGGGCAGACUAGAGGCAGGUAGGGGAGAAUGGAAUUCCCGGUGUAGCGGUGAAAUGCGCAGAUAUCGGGAGGAACACCGGUGGCGAAGGCGGUUCUCUGGGCCUGACCUGACGCUGAGGAGCGAAAGCGUGGGGAGCGAACAGG